UACACAUGCAGUCGAACGAUGAAGCCCUUCGGGGUGGAUUAGUGGCGAACGGGUGAGUAACACGUGGGCAAUCUGCCCUUCACUCUGGGACAAGCCCUGGAAACGGGGUCUAAUACCGGAUAACACUUCCGUCCUCCUGGACGGUGGUUAAAAGCUCCGGCGGUGAAGGAUGAGCCCGCGGCCUAUCAGCUUGUUGGUGAGGUAAUGGCUCACCAAGGCGACGACGGGUAGCCGGCCUGAGAGGGCGACCGGCCACACUGGGACUGAGACACGGCCCAGACUCCUACGGGAGGCAGCAGUGGGGAAUAUUGCACAAUGGGCGAAAGCCUGAUGCAGCGACGCCGCGUGAGGGAUGACGGCCUUCGGGUUGUAAACCUCUUUCAGCAGGGAAGAAGCGAAAGUGACGGUACCUGCAGAAGAAGCGCCGGCUAACUACGUGCCAGCAGCCGCGGUAAUACGUAGGGCGCAAGCGUUGUCCGGAAUUAUUGGGCGUAAAGAGCUCGUAGGCGGCUUGUCACGUCGGUUGUGAAAGCCCGGGGCUUAACCCCGGGUCUGCAGUCGAUACGGGCAGGCUAGAGUGUGGUAGGGGAGAUCGGAAUUCCUGGUGUAGCGGUGAAAUGCGCAGAUAUC
rnacentral:rRNA from 1 species